CAUAUUAUAGAAUUACAGCUAAUAAAGCCGUCCGUGUGAACCUGUGCUCGUAAUUUAAUGAAGCGUAUGCCUAUGAAGGUGUCUAUGCACUUGUUCAAAUAUAUCAAAUU
ensembl:ncRNA F26D10.22 ncRNA